GACGAACGCUGGCGGCGUGCCUAAUACAUGCAAGUUGAGCGCUGAAGGUUGGUACUUGUACCAACUGGAUGAGCAGCGAACGGGUGAGUAACGCGUGGGGAAUCUGCCUUUGAGCGGGGGACAACAUUUGGAAACGAAUGCUAAUACCGCAUAAAAACUUUAAACACAAGUUUUAAGUUUGAAAGAUGCAAUUGCAUCACUCAAAGAUGAUCCCGCGUUGUAUUAGCUAGUUGGUGAGGUAAAGGCUCACCAAGGCGAUGAUACAUAGCCGACCUGAGUGGGUGAUCGGCCACAUUGGGACUGAGACACGGCCCAAACUCCUACGGGAGGCAGCAGUAGGGAAUCUUCGGCAAUAGACGAAAGUCUGACCGAGCAACGCCGCGUGAGUGAAGAAGGUUUUCGGAUCGUAAAACUCUGUUGGUAGAGAAGAACGUUGGUGAGAGUGGAAAGCUCAUCAAGUGACGGUAACUACCCAGAAAGGGACGGCUAACUACGUG
rnacentral:rRNA from 1 species